GCCGCGGUGGCGGAAUCGGUAGACGCGCUAGACUCAAAAUCUGGUGUCCAAUAGGACGUGCCGGUUCAAGUCCGGCCCGCGGUACCA
rnacentral:tRNA from 1 species